UACGUAGGGUGCAAGCGUUGUCCGGAAUUAUUGGGCGUAAAGAGCUCGUAGGCGGUCUGUCGCGUCUGCUGUGAAAACUCGGGGCUUAACCCCGGGCCUGCAGUCGAUACGGGCAGACUAGAGUGCGGUAGGGGAGACUGGAAUUCCUGGUGUAGCGGUGAAAUGCGCAGAUAUCAGGAGGAACACCGGUGGCGAAGGCGGGUCUCUGGGCCGUAACUGACGCUGAGGAGCGAAAGCGUGGGGAGCGAACAGG
rnacentral:rRNA from 1 species